UCCGCCUGCAGCUCACCCCACCGCCAGCCCCACACCGCACCCCACUCACAACUAAGGACACUGCAAAGGGGACCCUCAGGGCUCCACCAAUGCUCCCCAGAGCAGGGACACAGCUCUGUGCCUCCAUUCUUUCCAUGUACUGUGUCCAGAUCCCUUCCCACCUUGCACCCAGAGCCACGCUGCCCCAUGAGCUCUGAGCAGCCCCACUACAGGACAGAGCAGCCAGCUGGCAACCAGCACCUGCAAGCAAAGCAUGGCCAAGCCCACUCCCUCCCUGCAGGGUGUUUCCAGUGCUGCAGGGGUGACGUGGGUGGAAGAGGGGUGUCCCCGGCCUGGCUCCCCACGACGGUGCUGGCUCUGCUCUCACUGGCCCUGAGCCUGCCUGGGAUGCUGAGUAAAGCCCCAUAUCCCGUGCAGUCAGAGCAGGGAGCACACAGCCAGCCCUACUGCCGGCACAUGGGGACCCAGCACGGCUCACGGUGACCCCCAGCCACCUCUGCCCCACGCUUCAUGGCUCCAGCAUUGCUCUCAUCUCCUCCUUGAACACCCAGGGACAGCCCGCAGUAAAUAAAGCUGGGGCAGAGCAGGCAGAGCUGCUGCUGGAGGUGCCGUUUAUCCACCCGACAGCCCCCGAGAUGCGGUGACGGAGCGCUCAGUUCAUCCGAGUCUUGCCUACUGUAGCAAUUAAGGCUAAUUAAAGCGAGUGGGUAUGAAACAUCA